UCAGGUUGUAGGAGAAAGGCCUUUCAUUUCCUGUAUUGAUAAUCAACUGAAUAUGGACAAAUCAGAUAUCAGUUUUAAUCUGAGAGACAUGCUGGAAGAACAAAGUAAAAUACUAAUCACCAUCAUGAGGUCACAAACAAAAAAAUGUUUGUUAAAGCGUGCAGAGUUAAACUGCAGGAAUCACACUGUCCUGCAGUGGCUGAGAGAAAACUCAGAGUCCGUCACCUUCAACAAACUGGUGGAAGUGUUCAAUUUCCUGAAAAAACACAUGGAUGAAGAAGAGAAGAAGAACCACGGUGACCAUGUGGACAUCACCUUUGUGGCACAUGGAGCAAUCAGAGACUUCAUGAUCCCAGCCAGCUGUCUGCUGCCUCUGCCCACCAUCACUGACGUGGUGCUGUACGCUCCGUGGAACUGUAUCACCAGUGGUGCGGCAUAUGGCAUCGCUACAGGAAGAAUUCAACCUGAGCACAGAGUUUUUAAAUGCCGCAAAAACAAUGACUGUAAAACACCUGAUGAAAAACAUCGACCCAUAAAUCUGCCAAACCACUGGAACUCCAUGAAGAAGGCUGGAGACCAGAUGAUCCCAAACAUCACAGUCAGCCCUCUCCGAGCAGACGAUGGUGUGUGGGAAUAUUUCAAGUAUCUCACAGCAACACAUGGUGAACUAGGUUCAAAGCCACCUUCCACCUCAAUGCCUGUCUGGGUGACCACUCUGCUGGACAGAAAUUUGACAAAGACUAUCUGCAGAGGCAGUACGCCUACACGGUGGAUGGGACUUUGAUGACAUGUUCAUCUGACGCCUACAGAUCUUCACCUAAAAUAAACAAACACAUAGACGCCA
rnacentral:lncRNA from 1 species